rnacentral:lncRNA from 1 species
GAAUGAAGAAGUAAUUAGAUGGAAGGCGGUGUGUGUGGUACGGUGAUGAUUUUGAGGGAAGAAGUUUGAUGCAUUGCUUGAGAAAAUGAUAGCAUGGUCUGGAGCUCACUGUCACGGUUUCUUUAUUUUUUUAUUUUUAUUUUUAUUUUUUUUUAUUUCACAAGCACAUUUCAUUUCUUUUCUUUUAACAUGGCACAUGUCACGGCUAAGGAGGAUUUUAUUUAGAAGUUUUUGCAAUUUUNNNNNNNNNNNNNNNNNNNNNNNNNNNNNNNNNNNNNNNNNNNNNNNNNNNNNNNNNNNNNNNNNNNNNNNNNNNNNNNNNNNNNNNNNNNNNNNNNNNNNNNNNNNNNNNNNNNNNNNNNNNNNNNNNNNNNNNNNNNNNNNNNNNNNNNNNNNNNNNNNNNNNNNNNNNNNNNNNNNNNNNNNNNNNNNNNNNNNNNNNNNNNNNNNNNNNNNNNNNNNNNNNNNNNNNNNNNNNNNNNNNNNNNNNNNNNNNNNNNNNNNNNNNNNNNNNNNNNNNNNNNNNNNNNNNNNNNNNNNNNNNNNNNNNNNNNNNNNNNNAGACUCGAACCACAUUUGGUCCUUGAGAGACGACCUAGGAGUCACUUCCUAGUCUAUAUUGCAUUCUUUUAUGCACAUCAAAUUUGUAUGGGCCGCGACACCCAUCAAAUUUUGGCGUCGUUGCCAGGGACCAACGGUUCGGUUUUAGAUCUUUUGUUGUGUUAGUGUGUGUUGUGUUUUGUCUUGUGUUGUGAGUGUGAUGUUCUGUUUUGUGUGUUCGUCAUUGUGUGUUGCAUUUAGGUAGCCUUAGUUGCAUAUUUUCAUUGCAUUCUCCCCCCCCCCCUUUUUUCUACAUGUCUACCUAUUUUGAUUCUGUGAAUAAUGCUUAUUCUGUUAGUGCCUAUGAUUAUGAUUCUCCUUCUGGAUGUUACUCUGAUGAUUGUGAUGUAUACUCUGCUGAUUUAUGUGCUGAGAACAAUAUGACUCAUCCUCCCACUCAUGAGAGUGCUCUUUUGGAGCCAGUUUCACUUCAUGAGGAUAAUGCUCAUUUCGUUCUCACCUCUGGACUAACACAUUUGCUGCCUAAGUUUCAUGGUUUUAUAGGUGAAUGCCCUCACAGACAUUUGGAGGAGUUCUACACCAUUUGCUCUUCAAAGAAACCUCCUCUUGUCCCCGAUGAUCACAUGUUUUUAAGGGCAUUUCCGCAUUCAUUACAAGAAGCAGCAAGGGAUUGGCUGUAUCGUCUUCCUCUGGGAUCCAUCACUUCUUGGGAAGAUCUUAAGCAUAUGUUCUUGGAUGAAUUUUUCCCUGCUCAGCAUGGCUACAACAACGAUCCUGGAUGGAAUGACCCUAGCUUUUGAUGGUAUGAUGCUCUACAACAAUAUCAGCCAUUCCAGAAUUCUUGUGUGCCUUCUCCCCCUGUCCAGGAACCACAACAAUUGCAGUUUCAUGAGCCUGCCCAAGCAACCCCUCAUCUUUCCACUACUUCUGAGCCUACACUGAAGGAGUUAUUGGAGCAGAUGACUAUUCUGAACAUUCAGUUUCGGCAGGAGAACAUGGAGUUUCAGCAGGAGACCAGAGCUUCCAUUCAGAGUUUGACUGAUCAGAUGGGGCAGAUGGCCACUCAGCUCACUGAGGAACAGUCUUAUGUUUCAGAGGAAUUAUCAUUCCAGACUGUUCAGCUUCCAGAUGAUGUUGAUGCCAUCCACAUAGGAGAUGGGGAGCAGAGUCACGAGUCUACUAUUGCGUCACCUACUUUCUCAUUCUCUUAUGCCCCUACUCUUGCGCCUGAGGAUGCAGUGGAUCAUUUUGCUGUUAUUGGUGAGAUGAAUCAUGAAUCAAUCCAGGUUUUCUCUAAACUUGAAAUCCCACUUGAUUUGCCUGAGUUGUUCAUGCAUUCAGAUAUUCUUGAUUCUGCUGUAGAUUCACAUGUUAGUACUGACUUGGAUAUAGAAUCUGUGAAAACUGAAGAUGUUUUAGACUUAGGAUUAAAUGUUGAUCUUUCACAGUUUUCUGAAAAUUUUACAUGUAGUUGUGAAGUUGGUUCUUGCUCUAUUUGUGUUGAAAUUAAUUCUGUGAUACAACCAGCUUCCAACUUUGUGAUUGGUGAUACUAACUGUGAGUUUGAUGAAAAUGUUAAGGAACAGGCAGAUAUGAGCACCAGGUUUGAGAUAGGUAAACCAGCUUCACCUUCCACCACUUUAGGCACAUCUAGGGAAGUGGAGAUAAACAUACCUGAGAUAGAUUCUGUUGUUGAUGAUUAUGCUGAUGAUGGUAUGUUGAUGAUUAUAUUGUUGAUGAGCAUGAUUUUCAUUCCCCCUCUUUGCAUGAUGAGAACCACUUUGUGUUAUCGCAUCUGAAUGUUUGUUCUCCAUGCACUGAACAUGAAUCUGAACCUAUGAUUGAUAUUGUUUCUAUUUCUGAAAUUGUUUCAUGUUCUGAGGGUUUAUCUGAUGUUCAGCAUGUUACAUUGGGAUUGGGUGUUAUACACCUGCAUGUUAUUUCUGCAGCACCACAUUGCAUUAACCAUGUUGCAGGAGAUACAUAUGGAUUUGAUCAACACACACCCACGAUGGAAGACAAGGGUGCCAGUAUACACAAAAGCUUGAAUAUCAAUGGGCACCAGCUGAACUCACUCAUCAACAAUCAUUGCUUCUUAGAUCCAGCUGUGGAGGACAUCUCCCUGCUUGAUCAAAUCUGGAGACUGAAGCAGUUCCUCCUCAAGACUUCCUUGCUGACUCCAGUGAUGGAGAAUAUCUCCCUGAAAGUCCAAAAUUGGCAACUACCACCAUGAUCAGGGGAGUUUUCUUCUUUUCCCUUCUCCUCCUUUCCCACUUUUAUUACACUUGUUCAUCAUCUGUUGACUGUUCUGAUUUCUGAUUUGAUGAUUGUGACACAUUGAGGACACUAUGUCGUUUAAGUGUGGUCUAUUGGGGGAGACGUUGAUUUGUCUUUGAUUAGUUUCUAUUUUCUGCGUUAAAUUUUUUGUUUUCUAGAUUGUUUUUGUUGUGUCUUGUAUACAGUUUUGCAUGUUUCUCUUGAUUUCUGGACUUAGUUUAGGUUGUAGAUGUGUCUUUCACUUCAUUGAUACUUUGAUUAGCUGGAAAUCCUUGCUUUUCUUUGCUUGGAAGAUGAUUAUGAUGUUUGAGAAGUUGAAUUGAUUGUGACAAUUACCCUGUGUGAGAUUUGAGCCACUUUAUGUUCUGUGUGAUAUGUCUCUUGAUUGCUUGCACAUAUGCCUUGGCUUGACUCUUUUCGAUGUUUCUUGAUUAAUAUGCAUGUUUGGAAGUGAUAAAGGCAGUUUUGUUGUUGAGCCUCUCUAGCCAAAUGAGCCUACUUGUUAUGAUCCUUUGACAGCCCCUUUGAGCCUUUACUUUCCCCAUUUCUUUGUUUUGAAACUCAUACACUAGCCCUAUGUGAAAAACCAUGAUUACCUUAACCUUAGGGAAUUUUGGAGCUUUGGAAUUGUUUUGGGAAUAAGUGUGGUCUCCUUGGAGAUUCAGAUGAAUUGGCUAGUUGGUUCCUCUUCUUGCUUUUGUUUUUGUAUAUAUGUUGUGUUAUCUUGUCUCUUAGAGUUGUGUUCUGAUAAGAGAGAAAAGAAAAUAGACAAGAUGAAAAAAAAAAUACAGAAAAAUGAAAAAAAAAAUUGUGAAUAAAGGAGGAGAACGCCGGAUUGGAGCUGUGCGAACCCGAUUCGACCUCCUCAAAGCUUCUCCGGCAAAGAAAUACGCAGCGGAAUGUAUAUGACUCGAAGAACUCUAAAAACCCUACGAUGAUCUAUGGAACCCUAGAAAAGAGGGGAAACUGGAUUUGGACCGGUUAAUCGGUAGAAAUGGAGGAUUAAUCGGUGGAAAGUGAAGAUCUAAGGAUUUGAGGGUAUUUAAUCGGUGGAAAAUGGCAAAAGAGGCGAGGAAAGGUGUUUGAUCGGUCAAGAUGUGAUAAAAUGUUGGACAGAUGGAGAUCUAAGAAAGAAAAAGACGCUUACGGAGGAGAGGCGACAGAUCUGUGAUGAAGAAAUGGAGUGAUACGCUUGAGGAUGAGAAACCCUAGCAGAGGAGGUUUUCUCUGAAGUAUGAAGAAUGGUGUUGUGUGGAAUACGCUUCUGAUGUGAGAGAAUUGGUGAGAGAAUGAUGUUGCUGAUGUAUGCGAGGUGGCAGCAAAGAAAUGGGCCACCGUGGAAGAGUGACGUCGUGGAGGAGAGAGAGAGCACAAUAGUGAAUUGAAAAGUGGAAAAAUGAGGUAGUGUGCUGGAAGGUGGCUAGAGGAAGUCUUGGGACUCUCUAGCCAAUGACUUUCAAGGGAGAAUUAUUUUCUGAUUUAGAAAACCAAAUUCUCAUUAAUCUCAAAAGUGAUUACAAGAUGUGUUAGCAUGCCUAUAUAUAGGUCACAUGCCUAACACAAUACAAAGUACAUAAAAGAAAAGCUAUACUAAAGACAUUGGGCGUUGGGCCCGCGUAUCAUUUCCUCUGUAGCACUACACCAAUUCUCUUGAGAAUAAAUAGGAGAUUAACUAGGAGUUGGUGGCAGCUGUCACGUCUAGAUGAAAUGGGUAUUUUUAUUAUUCUUUUCUUGCUUUGCUUUCAAAGAAAGGGUUGCUUUUACUGUGAAGAAGUGGUCACGAUUGUGGUUGGAAAGUAAUAUUACUUUUAUUUUGUUGGAAUGACAAAUAGAUUAGGUGGAACUAAGGAUGGGAUGUCCUGGUAGCUAGCUAAAUUGUUUUUUUUUUCUUUUUCUUUUAUUUAUUUGGGAAUGAAGAAGUAAUUAGAUGGAAGGAGGUGUGUGUGGUACAAUGAUGAUUUUGAGGGAAGAAGUUUGAUGCAUUGCUUGAGAAAAUGAUAGCAUGGUCUGGAGCUCACUGUCACGGUUUCUUUAUUUUUUUUAUUUUUAUUUUUUUUUUAUUUUUUUUAUUUCACAAGCACAUUUCAUUUCUUUUCUUUUAACAUGGCACAUGUCACGGCUAAGGAGGAUUUUAUUUAGAAGUUUUUGCAAUUUUAAUUCUUGUGGUAGAUUUAAUUAAGUGUUGGAUUUUAAUCACUUUAAUUAUGUUUGAAUAUUUGUCUUUUGUAGUGUUAGGUUUAGCAUUUUAUUUUACUUUAAUGUUGUCUAUCAUAUUCGGUUGUGCUUAAUUUCCAUGCAUUUUAAUUGAUUUUAAUUCUCGUUUCAAACACCUUCAAACCCCCCCCUUGGUGUUAGACCUAAGACUCGAACCACAUUUGGUCCUUGAGAGACGACCUAGGAGUCACUUCCUAGUCUAUAUUGCAUUCUUUUAUGCACAUCAAAUUUGUAUGGGCCGUAACACCCAUCAUCUAGUUCCUGAGGUGCUUUGCUAUAGUAGACAAGAAUCUUUGACUAAGCAGAAUCUUCUACCACUCCAAAGACAAAAUAAUAACAGAUCAAGCGAACAACAAUAUUGAAGAAAUAUUCAGAGAUCUAAUGAAAACAACAGUGACUCUAGUCCUAUAUUUUUGGAAAUAUAGAUUAAAACGCAGAAGAAUGAAGGUAUGAAUGAAUGAGAGAGAGAGAGAGAGAAAGAUAAAAAGAAAGAGGAACCUAGUUUUGUGAGGAGUUACCGAACCAAGACAAUGGAAGGGUCCUGAAUGGGAACAUCUCUCUAUUAAUACAUUGUGUUCUAUGGGUAACAUUGAAGAGUGAAAUUACAGAAUCACCUGCAAGUGGUUGGCAACAUUCUCUCUAGUCAGCCAUGGAACAUUCAUCAGAUCCAAUUUUUUCUUGGGCCCAACUUUUGCCAAAUAGAAAUUAAUUCUCCACUUCCACUCACUCAAUUGUUGCUUCCUAAGUCCUUGAGAUUUAGUUCUCUUGCUUAAUAUUUGAGGAGCAGCGACCCUGGUGCUCCGGUGAUAGUGCUUGGUCAUACGACAGCCACAACAUUGUCUUGGUGUUGAUCCCAUGCUUGAUUAUAUAGAUAAGCCAUUCAAAAAAAAUUAAUACACCUCAGCAUUCCACGUUAUCUAAAAAAAAUUACACCUCAGCAUGUGUAGACGCCGUCAGUGAAAACUUAAUGUAAAGGGCUUAAUUGGCGCAUUUCUACAAGUUUAUGGACCUGAUUGAGACCAAGAAAAAAAACGAUCACCCACUUGAGAUUGACACACAAAUAUGAGAACCAAACAAGAGUUUAAACCUAAAAAUUUUUAGAAAAUAUAUGGUUCAAUGUGCUCCUUCGUAUCAUAGAGAUAGUUCCUUGUAACAUCCCAAAUAUAGUAUAAAUACUAUAUUAAAGUCAUCAUAAACUCAAUAAAGCAAGAACAGUCUAAAGACAGGAAAUAUAAAGUUAAUACAGUUAUUAUGAUAACCAUAAUAUAAACUUUAUAUAUAACCCAAAGUCUAAACCAAAAACUAAAUACAUCCAUAUAAACUAAAACUAAGCAUCUGUUGGUCCAUCCUUUAGGACCUGCUCGACGGACAUCUCAUCGCUCUCUGAUCACACUCACUAGAUGAUUAUAGCCAAAUAACGUAGUACAGGAACAUAUAACAAAACACAAAUAAGAAGGGUAAGUUAGAUAAACAAAAUAAUUCAUAUAAAUAUAUAUAUAUAUAUAUAUAUAUAUAUAUAUAUAUAUAAAUAUAUAUAUAUAUAUAUAGUAUUAACAAAUUCAAACAUCAAUUCAAAAAUAAUCCAACCAUCCUAUACAUGCCAUAACAUAGAUAAGACUCAUCCGGAUUAGGUAUGAAUGUCAAACUAUUGAUAGUUUGUGAACUUGUAAUGGGAAUAUUGCUAGCUGAAACCAAGCUACCAUACAAGGUUAGUCCAUUUAAGUUGCUUAGGGUCAUGAUCAAAGCCCAAAGACAAAAACCUCCUACUACUCUCACUAAAUGACUCACUCCUCUCUACUUGAGAAUGAAUGAUCAUUAGAAUGUCAGAAUAAACCAUCAGUCCGAUGCUCCAUACAUUCAUACAAAAAAAACAUAGGCAUGACCAUGUAACAUCUCCAUGAGUGAUGGAAUUACAUCCAACAACCAUUCACAUCAUUCACAAACUUAUCAUCAUAAUAUUCAUAUGCAUUAUUUCCACUCACAUGUAAAUCAUAUACAAAUUCAUUAAUUUUACAUUGACUAACAUCAUAUAAGAUCACUAAUUAUAAUUCAAAGAACCAAAAUCAACCAAACAAGUAAUCGGAAGUCACAUAAUAAUACAAUUUUCUUUAAGGCAUCUUAUUUCUCACAUUUAGGUAAGGAAAAUAGCUCGAAAACCUUCACCAACAACUCAGAAGGGUCCAACACCCCCAAAACGACCUAAAGAACGUCCAAAACGGAUAUCCAGAACCCUAAAAACCCACCAAAAACAGGUGUAGUGGCGCAUAGUUGCACUUGAGCACCCAGGGGCUGGCGUCUCUGGAAACUAGUGCUCAACGCCAAAUUUGGACGCUCAGGAGCUAUCAGUAAGAUCAAGACCCAAUUUUCUCAUUUUGAACACUUUACCUUCAACUUCUAAAGGUCUCUAGGACCCUCCAAACCCUAAGAAAACUUUGAAAACCAUGUUGUAACUCAAUUUGACACUUUAAAACCCAAAUUCACUUCCACAAGCUACCUAAAUUCAAUUCUACACUUUCUAACCCACAUAUCAGUUUACCUACUGCUAGACAAGUUUAAAUACACUUGUUAGCACCCUCCAACACCUCAGUAUCAUCCCAGCCUUCCUACUUUCAAUUUCCAACACCUAAACCUCUAAAAUGAACUACCUAUGAAGCAAUUAACACUUCCAUGACAAAUUUUUCUGUAAACUUGUUGAUAAGGGGAGCUAUGUGAUAGCUAAACCCAUAUAUUCCAUAUGUGUUUCUGAUGGUGACAACAAAAAUGUUUUUAUAGUUUCUUCCACACAUUAUGCAAAACUGUUGUUUAUAUAUUUGUUUGUGCUUGAACUAUAUGUUAUGCAUAUUCAUUAUUUAAGGAUGAAUCUUUGAAUAUCUUGUUUUUGAUGAUGUACAUGAUGAUGAACAUUGUAUAAUGGACAUUUUUGUUGAUGGACAUUAAGGAUCUAUUAUAUUGUUAUCUUGCACAAAAUGGCAUAACAAAUGUUUGAUAUUAUUGAUGUGUGUGCUUGAUACAUGUAGUAAUGAUUGGAAAAAGGUUUACAUGUUUAAACAUAUUGAAAAUGUAUUUCUGGUAUGAUUUAAUCUGUUAAGCAAUCCAUGUAAUCUGUUAAAUUGUUUCAGAUUUCUUGUAUGCUUUAUUGGAGGCAAAUUGUUCUAACAUAAUUUGGUAUACAAUGUGUAUAACUAAUUAAGUAAAGAAAGUUAGCCAAUACAUGUUUUCAAAAGAGUGAAAAUAUGAUUACAUGUUUUCAAAAGAGUGAAAAUUUGAUUUGAAUGAAGUUUGAAAUUGAAUUUUGCUUAAGUGUUGGACAUAACCGAAUACAUAAGUUGUAUAAUUGGUUAAGUCAUUUUCAUAUGAUGAAUUCAAUUUCUUUCAAGUCGAUAUUGUUAUAACGGUCAUAUUGCAUUUACUUUUGACUGUUAAUAAGUGUUUAAUCGAUUGCGUGCACCAUAAAAUCGGUUAAAAGUCAUAUUUUGAAAUGUUGUCAAAAAUUGCUAAACUAGCAGGAAAUACGUAGUCGGUUACAUUAAUAGCGUAAUCGAUUAAAAUUCGUCAAGAUUUUGAAAAUGCCAUAAAUAACUGUCUUGCAUGUUGUUUCAAACUAAUCUUUGAAUAUACAAUUUUAUAAUGGACAGUGUGAUUAAGUUUUGUUAUAGAAAGUGUCCAAGAACCAUCUUGAAGAAUCAAGGAUCAACUUUGGGUUUAUACAUCAAGAUUAUAUCAAGAAGUGUGCUUAAAGGUUGUUGAUCAUAUAUGCACUAUUGGAGUGCUUACUGUGAAGAUCAGGUUUAUUCUUUUCAAUUUGUAGAUUGAGUUCCUGUUUUGUUGUGCCAGGGGGAGAGAACUGUGAUUGUUCUCAUUGAGAGUUGGGAUUGCUCUCAAGGUAUUCUUAGAGUGGGGUAUCUUUAAGGUGACAGAAAGUUGGGAUUACUUUCUGGGUUGUAAGAGUGUGAGGAUUGCCUACCUCUUGUUUGCUAUAAUUGAUUUUGAGUGGGGAAGGAGAGUGCAUUGAGAGGUAUUCUUUGUAUUCAACUAAGGUUGUUGAAGAAGACUGGAUGUAGACAUUAAGGCCGAACCAAUAUAAAAUCUAUGUGUUGGUAUUUUUAUCCUUUCUCUACAUUUGCUGAUUGUAUCACACUUCCUCAUUGAUUUCAAGAAACAUUAAGAAAGCUUCAAAGAUUUCAUAAAGAUUUUCAAAAGAACAUAUUUUUAAAGUCAAACCAAUUCACCCCUCCUCUUGGUUGAAAGUAUUGGCAUAUCUUUUUCUACAAAACCUCUAGACAAGUCAUAAUUGAUCUCAGAAUAUACUCAAAACUCUCCAAACUAGUUUACACCACUUAUUUCAAAAUCUCACCAUACGAACCUCAUUUUUUACCAAAAUCACCUAUGAACUCACCAUAAAAGCAACACCAACCAUUCUAUAUUAAGUAUCCUAAUAUAGAAUCCUAAUACAGAC